AAUGAACGCUGGCGGUAGGCCUAACACAUGCAAGUCGAACGGCAGCACAGUAAGAGCUUGCUCUUACGGGUGGCGAGUGGCGGACGGGUGAGGAAUACAUCGGAAUCUACUUUUUCGUGGGGGAUAACGUAGGGAAACUUACGCUAAUACCGCAUACGACCUACGGGUGAAAGCAGGGGAUCUUCGGACCUUGCGCGAUUGAAUGAGCCGAUGUCGGAUUAGCUAGUUGGCGGGGUAAAGGCCCACCAAGGCGACGAUCCGUAGCUGGUCUGAGAGGAUGAUCAGCCACACUGGAACUGAGACACGGUCCAGACUCCUACGGGAGGCAGCAGUGGGGAAUAUUGGCCAAUGGGCGCAAGCCUGAUCCAGCCAUACCGCGUGGGUGAAGAAGGCCUUCGGGUUGUAAAGCCCUUUUGUUGGGAAAGAAAAGCAGCAGGUUAAUACCCCGCUGUUCUGGCGGUACCCAAAGAAUAAGCACCGGCUAACUUCGUG
rnacentral:rRNA from 1 species